CUCUCCAUGAGUGACCACAGCUGUGGUCAUUUUCAGCUGGUCAGUGGUCACUUGGUCACUCCUGGGUCACUCCCAGGUGGUCAGUGGGUCAGUGGUCACUCGUGGUCACUCGUGGUCACUCGCGGUCACUCAGGUCCCUCAGGCCAGCACGUGGGCCACGGGCACGCGCCGUGUCCGGCCCCCGGCCGCGGGCGGCACCACGAUGGCCGCGGGGUCGCCGUCGCCAUCUUCGUCAUCGUCGUC